UAUCUUCCCACCAGAGUGGUACCUAUUGAUCUACUCACAUUUUGCAUGUUUUCAAAAUGAUACAAGAAUAAACACCAUAGUAAUAUAAUGCUGCCUUCCUCCCAUGAGAUAAAGUCCUAAAAGUGGCUGUGUGCAGUAUAGAUCCUAGGAAGUUACAUCCUGGCUGUAGAAGCAGGCUGUAAUGAACCUUAGCUAUUAGGCCGGGAAUGGAGCCUGAGUAACAGUGAGUGAGGCAGGCCUCCAUUUUGUAGUGUAAGGCCAGGCAGCCAUCUUGAGUGUGGUUAAAAAAGAGGGAGGAGCUUAGAGAGAGAAUCCUAGGAUUGGCCAGAGCAGAUGGGAGGAGCCAAGUCUUAGAGGGAGAGAGAGAAAAAAGAGCUCCAAGGCAGUUCGGUUUUGGGGUUUUGGAGAGGAAAGAGCAGUUUGGAGUUUUGGUUGUGUGUGAGAGAACUGAGAGCUGUGAAACUGACAGGAUAGGUCAGGCAGUUUGGAUCUCUUGGGGGAGAUAAUUCAAGAGAUUGACUCUCACUACUGGGCUGGUUAAUAGAAGGACUCUAGGUUAGAGUUAAUUAACACCCAGGGGGCUAUCUAGAUUAGAUUAGUCGAACUCGUGACUAUUCUCAGAAAAUAAAGUGAGGGUUUCUGUGACCAAUAGAUAGUUUGGUUUGAUUGGAACUGUUUGAAACUAAGUGACGUAAUCUGAAACAUACAGCUAAGUUAAGCUGAAGAACUUCUGUAAUCGUUUACGCUUAUAUACCUCUCUGAAGUAAUUAUUUGCCUGUUUUAAGAAAAUAAAUUUUUAUUCUAUUUUCAACUUUCAAAAGCCUCAACAGUAUAUCUUUCUAUUAAGAAGCCUUUAUAAUAGUUCCAGCCAUACAGCAAUUAAAUACCACAGAAAAGCCUCAUAAUAAACAUCAGUUUGGGAACAAGGGGGUGGAAACAGUGUGGGCAGGGAAUGGGAUAAACUUAUCGCAAGUACAUUUAACAACAAAUAUCCUAAAAACGUUUUAGGUUGGUGGGAGCUACCAUUUUAAAAGAAAAUCUAAAAUCAAACUGACAUCCCUCUCACAUAAGGGUGCUUACGUGUGGGAAGAGAGUAGAGUGAGGGGUGUCCGUUAUACAGGCGUUUGGCAAGUAGAAAAUUAAAGAGCAAUAGACUCAUGGAACUGACAUAAGAAGUAAUCAGGAUGACGAUUUUAGGAUUAGUGCUAUGUAUUACAUGUUUUAAUUGGUUUUGAUUGUAUUUUAUAUGUUUAUUGGUUUUAAUGGUUAUUGUGUUAUGUAUGGUUUGAUUAUUGUAUAAUUGCGGCAUCUCACCCUUAGAGUAAAAAGAGUGGGGUAGAAGUAAACAAAUAAAUAAAUUAGAUUGAAAAUUAUAAACGCCCCCUUGCAAAUGGAAAAUUCCAGGUUUGCCAUGGCGAUUAACAUUGGGAUCAUGUGUAGUAUGAUACCAGCCUUGAUAUGAAAUGAAACAACACCAUGAUCACACUACUGUUGAGAUGCUCCUUUGAUUUUCAACCUUCUCCUAUUUUACCUUUUUAAGAGUUCCAUUAUAGUAACCAACUUUGGAAAAAUUUGGAAAGGUUGAAAGCUUGGCUAACAAAAGUGUUUUUGUACCCACAUUCACGUUCAAAUUCUGUCUAGAAUCUGCCAGCUACUCCACCUUCAGGACUUUCACAGGAAGCUGAUGUUUUUAGAAUCCACAGUUUAGCUCAAAUUACGUGCUUUUCAGCAAGACUGAGUCCUGGCACUGGCUUUGAGAAAUUAGAAAUAGAAUAUAUUUUCUGUCACAAUACUCACAGCUAGGAUGAUGAUUUCAUACAAAAGUCAUGGAGUUCACAAAAGUUACUGAAGAACUUUAAACUGCUCACUUUAACUUUUAGGAACAAGCUAUUAAGAGGAAUUCCCCUUUUAUUGUAUUCCUGAAAAGAGAGUUUAUUUGGAAGGCUGUAUCUGUCACAUAAAUGAUUAGAAACUGACUAGCUCCCUCCCCACAAAUUCCCCUUACAGUUUGAACAAUAAGUAAAGCAUGUCUUCAAAGCCUGUAACAAAACCUCUUUCACCUCUGUGUAACCCAGUGUUCCAGCCUUGUUUCUUCCAAAUAAACUAAUCAAACAGAAAUCUACAUCAAUUGCCAUUUAGAAUGAAAGAAAUAUAAAAACCCAGGAGAGGGCAUGGUUUACAGACAUGAAUAUUUGGAAGCAUUCAUAUAAGUAGUGGGUAGGGGAGCUGUUUUGAACAGAAUAACUCCAGAACUGUGAAGACUAUCAGCCAUCUAGGAUUCUCAUCACCAUAAGUGAGAAACCAGUUUUUCAACCACUUUUUAAUGUUCAUUCAUUCCCUAUUGUCAAGUUAGAGUGGUAACUGACCAGUUAUUUCUUCAGGGUUCAACGGCAAAGCCAUGUAAAGAAUGCUGGCAAGGCUGUUACAAGAUGUUUAGCUUGCUGAAGCAAAGGACAAGGUACCUGCCCUGUGCCAUGUACAAAACCUGAGCAGAUUGGCAGCUGAACAGAAGCCCAACACAGGCAACAAUCUGCAAGAGGAAGGCUUAUUUGAGCGGAGUAGGUCAGGCCCUUUGGAAGACACAACUUACUUCUCCAAAACCUCACUACUGCUUGCUGGCUUGGAAAACAUCAUUAUGGAAAAUAGUAUUAAGAAGAUGGCCUUUUUCAUGCAGAAGACUUUGAUCUGGAAGGUGGAUCAAGAUCAGUACACAGCAACAACACACUGCUGCUUGGAACAAUGUGUUCACAGAAAAUAAAACAUUUGUUCUACUUCACUGAAGUGCCACAAGUGUGAUUAGAGAGCUGGUGUUUUGAUGUUAUACAAAAUAAAUGCAAUGUGUUUAAAAUUGAUUGCUUUGGAUUUUUCUUCUGUUCUAUGAAAAUGCUACAGCUUUGUUGUUGUGUUCCUUUGGGUUGCUUCCAAUGUAUAGUAACUCUAAGAUAACCUGGUUGCAGGGUUUUCCUGGCAAGAUUAGUUCAGAAGAAGUUUGUCAUUGUUUUUUCUUUAGGCUGAAAGAGUGUGACUUGCCCAAAGUCACCCACCCAGUGGGUUUCAUGACCUAGCAGAG